ACACAUGCAGUCGAGCGGAGAUGAGGUGCUUGCACCUUAUCUUAGCGGCGGACGGGUGAGUAAUGCUUAGGAAUCUGCCUAUUAGUGGGGGACAACAUUUCGAAAGGAAUGCUAAUACCGCAUACGCCCUACGGGGGAAAGCAGGGGAUCUUCGGACCUUGCGCUAAUAGAUGAGCCUAAGUCGGAUUAGCUAGUUGGUGGGGUAAAGGCCUACCAAGGCGACGAUCUGUAGCGGGUCUGAGAGGAUGAUCCGCCACACUGGGACUGAGACACGGCCCAGACUCCUACGGGAGGCAGCAGUGGGGAAUAUUGGACAAUGGGGGGAACCCUGAUCCAGCCAUGCCGCGUGUGUGAAGAAGGCCUUUUGGUUGUAAAGCACUUUAAGCGAGGAGGAGGAGCUCUAGANUAAUACUCUAGAUGCUUGGACGUUACUCGCAGAAUAAGCACCGGCUAACUCUGUGCCAGCAGCCGCGGUAAUACAGAGGGUGCAAGCGUUAAUCGGAUUUACUGGGCGUAAAGCGUGCGUAGGUGGUCUUUUAAGUCGGAUGUGAAAUCCCUGAGCUUAACUUAGGAAUUGCAUUCGAUACUGGGAGACUAGAGUAUGGGAGAGGAUGGUAGAAUUCCAGGUGUAGCGGUGAAAUGCGUAGAGAUCUGGAGGAAUACCGAUGGCGAAGGCAGCCAUCUGGCCUAAUACUGACACUGAGGUACGAAAGCAUGGGGAGCAAACAGGAUUAGAUACCCUGGUAGUCCAUGCCGUAAACGAUGUCUACUA
rnacentral:rRNA from 1 species